rnacentral:rRNA from 1 species
CCCUUAGACGUUCUGGGCCGCACGCGCGCUACACUGACGAAGGCAACGAGCUUUCCUUUACCGAAAGGUACGGGUAAUCUUUUGAAACUUCGUCGUGCUGGGGAUAGAUCCUUGCAAUUUUUGAUCUUAAACGAGGAAUGCCUAGUAAGCGCAAGUCAUCAACUUGCGUUGAUUACGUCCCUGCCCUUUGUACACACCGCCCGUCGCUACUACCGAUUGAAUGGUUGAGUGAGGCCUUCGGAUCCGCGACUCGUUUGUGGAGAAGUUGGACAAACUCAGUCAUUUAGAGGAAGUAAAAGUCGUAACA